UACGGAGGAUGCGAGCGUUAUCCGGAUUUAUUGGGUUUAAAGGGUGCGUAGGCGGACUGUCAAGUCAGCGGUAAAAUACGGGGGCUCAACCUCCGCCCGCCGUUGAAACUGACGGUCUUGAGUGGGCGAGAAGUAUGCGGAAUGCGUGGUGUAGCGGUGAAAUGCUUAGAUAUCGCGCAGAACCCCGAUUGCGAAGGCAGCGUACCGGCUCCACACUGACGCUGAGGCACGAAAGCGUGGGUAUCGAACAGG
rnacentral:rRNA from 1 species